UAAGCGUACGAAGUAUUAACAUUAAUGGAUAUAGAUCCAAACCCACACCAACCGAUUGUGUUAUUUAGUAGUUCUUCUUUGUUUUGACAUUCGCGGAAGUAGACAUCACGUGAAAUUGGCGCUCACGUGACCAAAAGCGUGCAUACGUCACAGCUCUGAAGCAAGAAAGUAGUGAGGAUAUCGUUCCAACAGCUGCAAUUGGAGGAGGCGUGGCUGCUGGUGUAAUAGUCGUUGUUGUGACAGCCGUGGCUGUAUUUAUUUACCUUCGAAGAAGAAGUCCAUUGUACGAUACUGUUCAACGAGCAAACAAUGCCAAUCUCCCUGAAGAAAUUACGUAUGCUGCCCUGCAGGCAAAGGAUUCAAUCUGUCUAACUGAAAUGUCUGCGCACAGUCACGUGUGUGGAGAAACGAAUGUUGAAUACCAGAACACAGACAAUGAGCAACACACGUAUGAGAUUGCGAACUGAACAACGACUGAAGGACUUAAUGUUAAUGUGUCAUAAUGAACAUCUCCAGUGAUAGAAAGGUCCAUUGAAUCAGACAUGCCUUUAGGUAUAAAACGCGUUUCAUGAAGACAAUACCAGCAUAAAUAAGAAUAGCGUAAUUCUAUUGUCAUAUUCAGAAAGAUAUUCACUUGUUCUUUGUGUAUAUUUUCUGUAUUUUUACAACUUACAAAAGAAUCAUUUAUUUGUAUAUACACAUUUGAUGAUUCCACUGUUAAAUAUCUACAAUGUAAUGUGAUUAUAUAUGAUUUCUUAAGUCUACUUCUCAUCGUUUAUAUUGCUUAUUGUUAUCUUAUUUAUGUAUCAAUUUUGCUAAGCCAACUUAUACAUCACCUUUACAUUAACAGCUCUCUGUUGCAUAUCGAUCGUUUUUCCAUGAAAUAUUAAGACGUUGUUUGCAUUUAUUAAUUUAUCUAGCAAUACCAAUAUAUUUUCUACCGUAACAUAAAAAUGUAUCCAUUGUACCGGUUUCUGGUGUAAACAAAUCAAAUUUGGAAUUGCUCUCAUAAAAUAAAUGUAAUUGUGUGCCUAUUACAAUGGAACUAAGUUUAACACGCCUAAAAAAUAAAGCAGAGCUGUCUUAUGGGUAAACGGGAUCAAACUUCUAUUGUCUCUCCUACCAAAGAUUAAAACAAUCGAAAUAAAACACAAACAAAACGGGUCCGUGUUAAAAAACGUAAAGUUUUCUCCCCUGAUAACACGAAACUCGACAAAAAGUCCAGAUUAACUACGGACACUGCAUCUGAGCACGAAUCGGAGAUCACUGAAGGGUCAAGUGUGGACUGGUUUUCGCCCAAUUUCACCCUUGAAUCACAUAUAGCUGUCUCAGUUCACAAAAUGUCGAAGAGUAAUACUCAUGGCGACACCCUUGACUCAAAACUCGUUGAUAGAAACUGUGUGAAUAAUCAACAGUCCCAACAAUCUAUGCUAUGCCAUAACACCCCUCAGCCAUCUGUACAUCUAAAAGUUGCAUCGAUCAUCAUUACGUUAUGUCCCCUGAGAGGCAGAUUCCACCAUUCAUGACCUCCCCACCCACUAUGCAACAUCAACAGAUGCUGCCAAAGUCCUUCAUUACCGACUUUGAUCUUCAACGAAAUGUCCACACAUCGAGAAUCUCCCUAUGUGAUGAAAUCCGUGGGCUUGUCCAGGCAUUUGUGGUUAAACAUGUUACUCCUCUUUUAAAUGAAAUCAGUGAACUGAAACUUUCUGUGAACACCAUGUCUAACAAAGUUGCUGUUUUAGAACAAGAUCUGGACGAUGCAAAUCAAUACAGCAGGCGUCAUUGUCUUAUAUUCAGCAUUGUGUCAGAAAACAAGGAUGAAUCCACUGAUGAUAUCAUCAUACAUAUAGCAAAAGAUACUGGUUCCAACAUUGUCCUGUCAGAUAUUGACAGGUCCCACAGAAAUUGACCUCCCAAAAGGAAUGAUGUGAAACACAGAUACAUAAUAUGCUAGUUCACUAACUUCAAAGCAAAGACAGAUUUCAUCAAAUCAAGAAAACAACUGAGACUUAAUAAAAGCAAAGUGUUCCUCAAUGAACAAUUAACCCCAAUGAGAAGGGAAAUUGCUGUCAAUUGCCAACAAUUGAAACACGACCCACUGUCUCCCAUCGCAGGUACAUGGACAUUUGAUGGAAACAUAUUCAUUACGUUGAAGAACCAGGAUCAGAAAAUCAAGAUCAUUUCCAUACAGGAACUGUCUAAAUUUGGCUUCAAGCAAAUCUAAUUUCACACGCAUGAACUAAUACCCAGUGUUGACUUGACGUUCAAAUAUAAUUAUUGUCAUACUUCUCAAGCAAGUUCUAUAUACCAUAAAACAUCGUUUUUUAAUUAAUAAUAAAUAUGUACCCAUUCCCACCCAUAUUAGGUACAAUAAUUCAUGCCCUAACAUACA